rnacentral:rRNA from 1 species
UACGUAGGCAGCGAGCGUUGUUCGGAGUUACUGGGCGUAAAGGGUGUGUAGGCGGUUCUUAAGUUUGGUGUGAAAUCUCCCGGCUCAACCGGGAGGGUGCGCCGAAUACUGAGGGACUAGAGUGCGGGAGAGGAAAGUGGAAUUCCUGGUGUAGCGGUGAAAUGCGUAGAUAUCAGGAGGAACACCGGUGGUGUAGACGGCUUUCUGGACCGUAACUGACGCUGAGACACGAAAGCGUGGGUAGCAAACAGG